rnacentral:misc_RNA from 1 species
GAUGAAGAACGUAGUGAAAUGCGAUAAUUAAUGUGAAUUGCAGAAUUCAGUGAAUCAUCGAGUCUUUGAACGCACAUUGCGCCCCCUGGUAUUCCGGGGGGCAUGCCAGUCCGAGCGUCAUUGCUGCCCUCAAGCACGGCUUGUGUGUUGGGCUUCCGUCCCUGGCAACGGGGACGGGCCCAAAAGGCAGUGGCGGCACCAUGUCUGGUCCUCGAGCGUAUGGGGCUUUGUCACCCGCUCCCGUAGGUCCAGCUGGCAGCUAGCCUCGCAACCAAUCUUUUUAACCAGGUUGACCUCGGAUCAGGUAGGGAUACCCGCUGAACUUAAGCAUAUCAAUAAGCGGAGGA